rnacentral:rRNA from 1 species
GACGAACGCUGGCGGCGUGCUUAACACAUGCAAGUCGAACGGAAAGGCCCUGCUUUUGUGGGGUGCUCGAGUGGCGAACGGGUGAGUAACACGUGAGUAACCUGCCCUUGACUUUGGGAUAACUUCAGGAAACUGGGGCUAAUACCGGAUAGGAGCUCCUGCUGCAUGGUGGGGGUUGGAAAGUUUCGGCGGUUGGGGAUGGACUCGCGGCUUAUCAGCUUGUUGGUGGGGUAGUGGCUUACCAAGGCUUUGACGGGUAGCCGGCCUGAGAGGGUGACCGGCCACAUGGGAGCAGGGGUGCGGCCAAGACUGCUACGGGGGGCAGGGGGGGAGAAUUUGCGACAAGGGGGGGGGGGGUGGAGGAGGCACGCCGCGGGGGGAAAGACGGUGUUUGGGUAGUAACCCGUUUGCGCGUGAGAGGGAGCGGCGGGAAGGGAAAUGGGUAAAAAGGCACGGGUAAACAAGGG